rnacentral:rRNA from 1 species
GCCGGAAUCGCUAGUAAUCGCGGAUCAGAAUGCCGCGGUGAAUACGUUCCCGGGUCUUGUACACACCGCCCGUCCACACCAUGGGAGUCGGAAAUGCCCGAAGCCGGUGACCCAACCCGAAAGGGAGGGAGCCGUCGAAGGCAGGUCGGAUGACUGGGGUGAAGUCGUAACAAGGUAUC